UGUUAUUGUUAUCUGAUAAUGAACAGUCGUCAUACUUGCUGGUAUGUCAUUUAUUAUUGACAGUUUAGGUUUUUCAAAAUUUGUAUGAUUAACAGUCCGAAUGUAGACCUCAAUGAAAUGUUCUGGAAUAUUAACAAAAUGAAUAGUCAACCAUAAUUAUUAACCAUAUAUAUGAAUGGUUGAACACAACAGUAAGGAUAAAUAGCGCAAUGUGCAUAUCUUUUUAUUUUGGUAGCAUAUUUUUUAAGCAAAAAGAAAAGACACUAUAAGUCUGAAACAUUCUCUCAUAGCCUCCCCAUCAGUACAUUCAGUGCUUUGAUUAUUUCUGCGGUGCUGAAACUGACCGCAGAAAACGCAGAAAUAAAGUCACCGCAGAAAAAACCACUUAUACGGUAGUAUAAUUAUUGUUUUGUUGUUAAUAUUUUUCAUGAAAUUAUUUCAUUUUAAUGCAUCAACACAUGGAAAUCGUUUUUUUUUUUUUUUUUUUUUUUCACUUUUAUACCAAAUCAAAUUUUAUUCUGGUUAAAUAAGUCCACUCUAUAGACAAAAAGUUUAUAUUUGACGCACGACGCGAGAAAACCGGUCUUAAUGACACUACAAUAAAUGUGCACUACAGCCAUUUAAAUGACGUCACUCUUAUUGCGUAUACACAUGUAAACACGGAAAUGCUUUUUAUCGUGACUGUUAUUGUUUUUCAAGUGUAUUCAGAGGAAAGUUUAUAUGAUGGAGGAGGAGUUAGAAGUAAGUGUCUAUAAUGUAUAAUUUAUGAAAAACAGCAACAAAAAUAUAUCAUGCAUUUUUAUUUAUCAGAGCAUCUAAUUGAUAAAUAUUUACUGUUGGUAAUUUAACACUGACGUUUACAGUACUGUAUAAAAAAAAAGUAUGCUUUGAAAUACAGAAGAAUAAAUUAAUCGGCAACAUACAUCGGUGCCUUUAUAUAGAAUAAAUUUACGUUAACUUGUCUUGAUCUUAAUUAAAUCAAAGGCUAUUGUAGGGGUUUACCAAUCGAUCUCAUAUUUUAUAGGCAGAUCUAAAUUUAGGUUAAUUUAAGAAUAAUCUAAUCAGUCGCAAGUUAAAUUAAUACUCUUUUUCAUAAUUCAUUUACAAUAUGUUUCUAUAAUUCAUUUAGAACAUGUAAGCAAUAAAAUGAUAUAUGUCCAAAAUAUGCUACGUCAUCAUGGAAUAUAAAGUUUUUUAGAUUUAAUAGUGUCUUUUAUUGAUUAAUUAGCACGCUAAAUUAUUGCUGAGAGUACAGCUCAGUGGAUUAUGCUGUGGCCUCACAACAAAUCGAGUUCGUAUCCUGACUGAUGCCAAUUUUUUUAUAUCCGUUUUUUAUUCAUUUUUUUGUCAUUCAUAGGAUCUGAAAUCCCUCUACUCGGAUUAUUUUUGGGAGAACACUUAUCAAGUCACAAAACAGAUAUUUCGAGAGAUACUGACUAUGAUUAUUCAGAGGUGAAAAAAUGUGACACUAGCAACGACGGCACUGCGGGACCACGUACUUCUCGCACAAAAGACAUGCGCGGUGUUAAGUUGAUGCGAGAUUCGCACAUCUAAAGGCAUGAUUUAGAAACACUUCAACAGCUGGCCGAUGUAACAGAGAAGUCAUCUACAACAAACAGCCGGUAUGUUACCCCAAGCGGUCAUGGCGGCAAUGGAAACCCGUUCUUGAGGGAUUUUUCAAACCAAUUAUUGGUAUAAGAAAAUUCCUGCACUUCCGUUUCCUGUCAAACAUACCGAGUGUUGUUAUGGCCAAAAUAACACCUGGAGGCGAGGAAUAUUAGAUUCAAGUCUUGAAAGAACACGGAUUCCGGAUCAGUUCAUGUGUCCGUCCAAGCGUUAUUACGCCCGUAGGAAUGUCAGCAGUGUCGCGAAAGUGUGCAUGCGUUCGUCAGUCAAGACAGUUAAUCAUAUUAUCAGUGCACUGUUACAACAACUGUUGUUGUUUGUUGUUAAAAUACGGCCAUUGUUUCUGUUAUAAAGAAAAAUAGAACUUAUUAUUUAACUGUCUAAUAUUGUCUUUUUAUAAGUAAUAAACGUUAAACGUAGACUUAUAUACUGUUGUUGAUUUAUUACUUUGGGUAUAUACCUAAAAAUUGUCUGAUUUCAAUCUAUGCGACCCGUGCAUACUAAAACCCACCAACACACUUGUGUCUUCUGACCGUGGUCGGCAAUAUUUGUUUUUCAAGCAGUAUAUAGUCUGAAAAUUUCCCGUAAAGAUGAUGAAUAAUUUUGUUCACAUUAAAGGUAUAUAGUGUGGUAAUGGUUGAAAAAAAACAACAAUUAUUUGCGCCAUGUAUGACUCGCUUAUGGGUGUUGUUAUAACGUUGCUAAGCAACGCUAAAAAUCGCAAUAAACGGGAAGUCUAUAGUUUACACAACUUCAUUACUAACCUUUUUACCGCUAGAACAUACUAAUGGAGUAAACUUACGAUAUAAAUAUAAUUGCUGUUUUAAUUUUCCAAUUUACCACGUCAAACGUCAAUUUAAUUUUUCAACGUCAUUUAUUUACAAAGUGAUCAAAUAUAUGACGUUCUUUAAAUAAGUAUAUCUCAAAAACUAACCCUUUGAUUUUAAAACAGUUUUCACCGUCAUAUUCAGAAAGAAAUUCUCUACAAUAAUAAGUGAAAAACCAAAUUUCGAAAAAAAUGUCAUUAAGACCGGUUUUCUCGCGUCGCGCCUCAUUUGUAAAAAAAAACGUAAAUGUAUAUAGGCAGCGUUUAGCGGAAUGAAUAGGAAAAUCGUGUUCAGCUUCACACAGUGUGUAAGAGAUUCAUCCGAUCGAUAAUUAUUUAAGCAAAUAUCUUCAAAAUGGGGGCAAAUUGAAGAUCGAUAUUUGAAAAUUUAAUGCUGAUUAAAUAAUAAAGGAACAAUUCAUUCUCAUGUUUGGCUUGGAAACUGAGAAUUUUUGCGAAAUUUUAGGGUUUCUGAAAUUCCGGCGAACAUGAAAUCGCCGAUGUUCAGGAUCAAUUUUCGGAUAGAAUCUUAAUAUCAAAAGAAGCGUAUGUGUAUUUUUGUUAGUUGUCCUGGCAUUUCGGCACAAUAUGUUAAAUUAUUAAUACUCUUAAGUUAUAGAACGUUUUUGCAAGAAUGAAACUAAAGCAAAAUUUUGCAUAGAAAAUGCCGAAAAUUUCGACAAUAAUUCAAAAUUACACUCAUUUGUAAUUUGAGAAAACAGUCUUUAAACUUGCGGCGUAAAUAGUCGAUAUUUUUAUCCUUUUGUCGGUAAAAUUUGCUAAUUUCCAAUCAACUGUUGAUCAAAGAUGUUAAAUUAUCACCUCGUGUUAUAUCUGGUAAUUACAUGUACAGCGCGUGUAUACAUUAGUCUGAUCUCUAUUGCGUGAUAAUGAUCGAAAGCGUUAUCGCUGAUUGGCUAAUCGCUUCACGGGUCGAUGUGCAUAGGACCGCCUACCUAUAGACUGACACGCGCUGACGUAUUUGUGUCUUUGUGGUAAUGUUGAUGCGUCUCCAGGCAAAAUUAAGCGUACGUGGAAUCCUUGCUCUGAAAUAUUUGCGUCCAGCUGUAAUAAACAUGUGUACCGGGACGCAGAAAUAAGCGUCCCCGAGAACACUGCCAGUAAUAAAUGUUUUUCUAUACAAUUGAACUUUGCCAAAGUGAAGUAGUGUCUAGUGAGGUCUUAUUCUAGCAUGUCAAAUGAAAGACAGUGUGCUGAUAUGUUUACUGUUCAGAUACAAACCACAUGACCUCAAAUCAUUUCUUCAAGAUCUCUGAAAAGCAAACAGGUCAUGAAAUUAAGACUUUCUGCCAGCUAUUGAAUCUUUCUUUUAGGAAAAUUGCAUAACAUGUACACAUAUAUGGAAGACAUUCCAACGCGAGUUGUUUCCCUUUCAUUAUUAAACUAUAAUUUGAAGAAAUGCCAUGGCCUGGUGCAUUUUAGCUUUAGCAUCCCCUAAAAAGGGGGCAAUCAAGUUAAUAUGACCAACCUUGAUAAAAGACUACAUAAGAAUGCUACAUACAAAAGUUGGUGG